rnacentral:lncRNA from 1 species
GGUAGCAAUCUAGAACUCUGCCCUGAUGCCAACGAUCCAAAACCCCUCCUCAGAACCGAUGACCCAAAAGCCUAAGAUGACAAUGGUGCCCAUCACCAAGGCACUUGUCACCAUAGAGGAGGUUCACAAAUUACACUCCUCUAAACACUCGAGGACUCAAGUGCUUAUGAAAAUAAAGGAGCAGCUUUUCAAGUUGAAAAAAAUACAAUCUCGACCAAAUCAACAC